GGUCUGUACUGUCCUCUGAAAAGGAUGAAGGGAGGUAGCCACCCUGAGGCACAAACUAACUGUCAUGUACAGUCAGAUCAACGGGGCGUCGAGAGCACUGGAUGAUGUGAGAAACAGGCAGCAGGAUGUGCGGAUGACUGCAAACAGAAAGGUGGAGGAGCUACGACAAGAAUACACGGAAAUGAAGGCUCUCUUGGACGCCUCAGAGACCACCUCAACAAGGAAGAUAAAGGAAGAGGAGAAGAGGGUCAACAGCAAGUUUGACACCAUUUAUCAGAUUCUCCUCAAGAAGAAGAGUGAGAUCCAGACCCUGAAGGAUGAGAUUGAACAGAGCCUGACCAAGAGGGAUGAGUUUGAAUUUCUGGAGAAAGCAUCAAAACUGCGAGGAAUCUCAUCAAAGCCGGUCUACAUCCCCGAGGUGGAACUGAACCACAAGCUGAUAAAAGGCAUCUGCCAGAGCACCAUAGACCUCAAAAACGAGCUGAAGCAGUGCAUCGGGCAGCUCCAGGAGCCCACCCC
rnacentral:sRNA from 1 species